AUUGAACGCUGGCGGCAGGCUUAACACAUGCAAGUCGAACGAUGAAACUCUAGCUUGCUAGAGAUGAUUAGUGGCGGACGGGUGAGUAACAUUUAGGAAUCUGCCUAGUAGUGGGGGAUAGCUCGGGAAACUCGAAUUAAUACCGCAUACGACCUACGGGUGAAAGGGGGCGCAAGCUCUUGCUAUUAGAUGAGCCUAAAUCAGAUUAGCUAGUUGGUGGGGUAAAGGCCCACCAAGGCGACGAUCUGUAACUGGUCUGAGAGGAUGAUCAGUCACACCGGAACUGAGACUCGGUCCGGACUCCUACGGGAGGCAGCAGUGGGGAAUAUUGGACAAUGGGGGCAACCCUGAUCCAGCCAUGCCGCGUGUGUGAAGAAGGCCUUUUGGUUGUAAAGCACUUUAAGCAGGGAGGAGAGGCUAAUGGUUAAUACCCAUUAGAUUAGACGUUACCUGCAGAAUAAGCACCGGCUAACUCUGUG
rnacentral:rRNA from 1 species